GGACUUUAGUUUAAUUUAAAAUUUGUAUGUUGCAUAUACGGGAUUUUUGGUUCUA
rnacentral:tRNA from 1 species